rnacentral:rRNA from 1 species
UGGGGGGGGGGCUUACACAUUGCAGUCGACGGGAUCCAUCAGGCUUUGCUUGGUGGUGAGAGUGGCGAACGGGUGAGUAAUGCGUGACCGACCUGCCCCAUACACCGGAAUAGCUCCUGGAAACGGGUGGUAAUGCCGGAUGCUCCGACUCCUCGCAUGGGGUGUCGGGAAAGAUUUCAUCGGUAUGGGAUGGGGUCGCGUCCUAUCAGGUAGUCGGCGGGGUAACGGCCCACCGAGCCUACGACGGGUAGCCGGCCUGAGAGGGCGACCGGCCACAUUGGGACUGAGAUACGGCCCAGACUCCUACGGGAGGCAGCAGUGGGGAAUAUUGCACAAUGGGCGCAAGCCUGAUGCAGCGACGCCGCGUGCGGGAUGACGGCCUUCGGGUUGUAAACCGCUUUUGAUCGGGAGCAAGCCUUCGGGUGAGUGUACCUUUCGAAUAAGCACCGGCUAACUACGUGCCAGCAGCCGCGGUAAUACGUAGGGUGCAAGCGUUAUCCGGAAUUAUUGGGCGUAAAGGGCUCGUAGGCGGUUCGUCGCGUCCGGUGUGAAAGUCCAUCGCUUAACGGUGGAUCUGCGCCGGGUACGGGCGGGCUGGAGUGCGGUAGGGGAGACUGGAAUUCCCGGUGUAACGGUGGAAUGUGUAGAUAUCGGGAAGAACACCAAUGGCGAAGGCAGGUCUCUGGGCCGUUACUGACGCUGAGGAGCGAAAGCGUGGGGAGCGAACAGGAUUAGAUACCCUGGUAGUCCACGCCGUAAACGGUGGAUGCUGGAUGUGGGGCCCGUUCCACGGGUUCCGUGUCGGAGCUAACGCGUUAAGCAUCCCGCCUGGGGAGUACGGCCGCAAGGCUAAAACUCAAAGAAAUUGACGGGGGCCCGCACAAGCGGCGGAGCAUGCGGAUUAAUUCGAUGCAACGCGAAGAACCUUACCUGGGCUUGACAUGUUCCCGACAGCCGUAGAGAUAUGGCCUCCCUUCGGGGCGGGUUCACAGGUGGUGCAUGGUCGUCGUCAGCUCGUGUCGUGAGAUGUUGGGUUAAGUCCCGCAACGAGCGCAACCCUCGCCCUGUGUUGCCAGCACGUCAUGGUGGGAACUCACGGGGGACCGCCGGGGUCAACUCGGAGGAAGGUGGGGAUGACGUCAGAUCAUCAUGCCCCUUACGUCCAGGGCUUCACGCAUGCUACAAUGGCCGGUACAACGGGAUGCGACACGGCGACGUGGAGCGGAUCCCUGAAAACCGGUCUCAGUUCGGAUUGGAGUCUGCAACCCGACUCCAUGAAGGCGGAGUCGCUAGUAAUCGCGGAUCAGCAACGCCGCGGUGAAUGCGUUCCCGGGCCUUGUACACACCGCCCGUCAAGUCAUGAAAGUGGGUAGCACCCGAAGCCGGUGGCCUAACCCUUUGUGGAUGGAGCCGUCUAAAGGGGA